rnacentral:rRNA from 1 species
UACGAAGGGUGCAAGCGUUAAUCGGAAUUAUUGGGCGUAAAGGGCGCGUAGGCGAUUCGAUAAGUCUCAUGUGAAAUCCCAGGGCCUAACCCUGGAAUGGCAUGGGAUACUGUUGGAUUUGAGUUCCGGAGAGGAAGGCAGAAUUCCCGGUGUAGCGGUGAAAUGCGUAGAUAUCGGGAGGAAUACCAGUGGCGAAGGCGGCCUUCUGGACGGAUACUGACGCUGAGGCGCGAAAGCCAGGGGAGCAAACGGG